UAGCUGGUCUGAGAGGACGACCAGCCGCACUGGGACUGAGACACUGCCCAGACUCCUACGGGAGGCUGCAGUCGAGGAUCAUUCGCAAUGGGCGGAAGCCUGACGAUGCGACGCUGCGUGGAGGAUGAAGGCCCUCGGGUCGUAAACUCCUGUCAUGGGGGGCGAGGCGGAGGCGGUUAACGGCCGCCCGAGUUGACGGUACCCCAAGAGGAAGCCACGGCUAACUCUGUGCCAGCAGCCGCGGUAAUACAGAGGUGGCGAGCGUUGUUCGGAUUUACUGGGCGUAAAGGGCGCGUAGGCGGCCGGUCGUGUCGGGUGUGAAAUCCAUGGGCCCAACCCAUGAAGUGCGCCCGAAACUGCCCGGCUGGAGUGCGGGAGGGGAGAUCGGAAUGCAUGGUGUAGCGGUGAAAUGCGUUGAUAUCAUGCAGAACACCGGUGGCGAAGGCGGAUCUCUGGAACGCAACUGACGCUGAGGCGCGAAAGCAGGGGGAGCAAACAGGAUUAGAUACCCUGGUAGUCCCUGCCCUAAACGGUGCACGCUUGGGGUGGGGGGAUUUCACCCCCCCCGUCCCGGAGCUAACGCGUUAAGCGUGCCGCCUGGGGAGUACGGCCGCAAGGCUAAAACUCAAAGAAAUUGACGGGGGCCCGCACAAGCAGAGGAGCAUGUGGCUUAAUUCGAUGCAACGCGAAGAACCUUACCCGGGUUUGACAUGCAGCUGCACGGCCUAUGAAAGUAGGCCUCCUUCGAGGGUGCUGCACAGGUGCUGCAUGGCUGUCGUCAGUUCGUGCCGUGAGGUGUUUGGUUAAGUCCAGCAACGAACGCAACCCCUGUGUCCAGUUGCCAUCGGGUAGUGCCGGGGACUCUGGACAGACCGCCCGUUCACGCGGGAGGAAGGUGGGGACGACGUCAAGUCAGUAUGGCCCUUACGUCCGGGGCUGCACACGUGCUACAAUGGCCGGUACAGAGGGAUGCGAGGCCGCGAGGCGGAGCCAACCCCCAAAACCGGCCCCAGUUCGGAUCGGGGUCUGCAACCCGACCCCGUGAAGUCGGAUUUGCUAGUAACGGCGCAUCAGCUACGGCGCCGUGAAUACGUUCCCGGGCCUUGUACACACCGCCCGUCACAUCAUGAAAGCCGUCUGCACCCGAA
rnacentral:rRNA from 1 species